rnacentral:rRNA from 1 species
GAUGAACGCUGGCGGCGUGCCUAAUACAUGCAAGUCGAGCGAACAGACGAGGAGCUUGCUCCUCUGACGUUAGCGGCGGACGGGUGAGUAACACGUGGAUAACCUACCUAUAAGACUGGGAUAACUUCGGGAAACCGGAGCUAAUACCGGAUAAUAUAUUGAACAGAAUGGUUCAAUAGUGAAAGACGGUUUUGCUGUCACUUAUAGAUGGAUCCGCGCCGCCUUAGCUAGUUGGUAAGGUAACGGCUUACCAAGGCGACGAUGCGUAGCCGACCUGAGAGGGUGAUCGGCCAGACUGGAACUGAGACACGGUCCAGACUCCUACGGGAGGCAGCAGUAGGGAAUCUUCCGCAAUGGGCGAAAGCCUGACGGAGCAACGCCGCGUGAGGGAUGAAGGUCUUCGGAUCGUAAAACUCUGUUAUUAGGGAAGAACAAAUGUGUAAGUAACUAUGCACGUCUUGACGGUACCUAAUCAGAAAGCCACGGCUAACUACGUG